rnacentral:rRNA from 1 species
AUUGAACGCUGGCGGCAUGCCUUACACAUGCAAGUCGAACGGUAACAGGCCGCAAGGUGCUGACGAGUGGCGAACGGGUGAGUAAUACAUCGGAACGUGCCCGAUCGUGGGGGAUAACGGAGCGAAAGCUUUGCUAAUACCGCAUACGAUCUACGGAUGAAAGCGGGGGAUCGCAAGACCUCGCGCGAUUGGAGCGGCCGAUAUCAGAUUAGGUAGUUGGUGAGGUAAAGGCUCACCAAGCCGACGAUCUGUAGCUGGUCUGAGAGGACGACCAGCCACACUGGGACUGAGACACGGCCCAGACUCCUACGGGAGGCAGCAGUGGGGAAUUUUGGACAAUGGGCGCAAGCCUGAUCCAGCAAUGCCGCGUGCAGGAUGAAGGCCUCGGUUGUAAC